GCCGCACAUCGGGCACAGACGCUGCGAUCUCUAUGCACGUCUGUGAGGACCUGCAUAGUCCUCACAGUGUGAUCGGUGCAGGGGGA